CAAUGGAAAGUAUGUAGGUAAUUUCAGUCGUUGCUUUGUUAACCAGAUGUUUGAUAAAAAAUGGCUCCAUCUUUUCUUCUUCUAUUAUCUAAUUUCGUUUGGUUGAACUUAGGAUGCCAAUGGGCUCAACAUGGACGUUACAACUUCGUCUUUGAGCAAAAGGUUGAGUUGAUUGUUGGAGAAACAAUCAAAUCUCACUGCUUAGUGCUACAGUUAGAUUACUGAAUUAUGGGGGCCACUUCGAUACUGUACCUGUGCUGGGACACUUGGUCCAAUUAACUUGAUUGGAAAGAAGAAAAAUGAGGAAAUAGUUAUGGAUCUUUCAUCAAACGAGUGGAAGUAUAAGGUUAGCUUGAAUGGUGAGCAUCAUAAAAUUUACAGUGAUUUGUCAAGUCAGAGUAUUAAGUGGCACACAGAAACAGAGAAACUCUUCCUGCAAACACAAUGACGACUUGGUACAAGACAACCUUCAAUGCUCCUUUGGGAACAGACCCUCUUGUUGUGGAUUUACUUGGUAUGGAUAAGGGGCAUGCUUGGGUGAAUGGCCAAAGCAUUGGGAGAUAUUGGCCAAAGUUCCUUGCUGAGAAUGGUGAUUGCAGUGACAGUUGCGACUAUCGUGGAACCUACUCUAGUUCGAUGUGCUUGACUCAAUGUGGCAAGCCAACUCAAAGAUAGUAUGAUAAAUGGCUUUGCAGAAGUGGGUCUGAUUGUUUUGUAUUGUUUUAGAAAAAUUAAGCUCUUACAGAGUUCUACAAAUUUCAUUAGGUAUCAUGUGCCACGAUCUUUCCUCCGGGAUGAUGGAAACACAUUGAUCUUGUUUGAAGAGAUGGGUGGCAAUCCUUCUUCAGUGAACUUCAACACAGUUACUAUUGGAACAGCAUGUGCUAAUGUCUGUGAAGGAAAUAAGUUGGAGCUGACAUGCCAGGCUGGUCGAACCUUUAGCCAAAUUCGAUUUGCUGGUUUUGGUGAUCCACAAGGCAUAUGUGGAUCUUUUGCCAAGGG